AUGAAAAGCUCCGGAGGGCCCAGGAUGGAGGGUGGGCGGGGUAUGCCCUCUCGCAGGACCCAGUUGAGGUAAGCCCGACCAGCAGGCGGCAGAGCGGCCUUCACCUCCUGUAGUACGUGCCGGGGAGUACAAGAUCUGGAGAGCCCCAUACGCCGAGUGAGCGUCAAGGGAUCCAGCCAGUCUCCCCGGUCGUAGUCCAGGAGGUCUCCGACCCUAGUACUUUGUUGGCUGU